UUCACCUGUGAACCAUCUGGGCCUGGUGCUUUGUUUUAGAGUUAUUGAUUCAAUUUCUUUAAUAGAUUUAGGCCUAUUCAAAUUAUCUACUUCUCUGUUAGUUUGGGUAGCUUGUUUUUCAAGGAAUUAUUCCAUUUCAUCUAGGUUAUCAUAUCUGUGGGGAUAGAGUUGAACACGCUUUUUUAUCCUUCUAAUGUCCACAGAAUAAGUAAUGAUGGCCCCUUUCAUUUCUACUAGUAAUUUAUGUCUUUUUUAUUAGUUAGCCUAGCUAGUUUAUCAAUUUUCUCAAAGAAUCAGCUUUUGGUUUUGUUGAUUUUCUCUUCUGACUUCCUGUUUUCAAUUUCAUUGAUUUCUGCUCUUUUAUUAUUUCUUUCCUUUUGCUUAACACUUGAUUUAAUUUGCUCUUUUUCUAGCUUCCUAAGGCAAAAACUUAGAUAAUUGAUUUUAGAUCUUCUUUUAAAAUAGGUGCACUUAAUGCUGGAAACUUCCCUCUAAGAACUGCUUUUGCUGCAUCCCACACAUUUGGGUGCGGGUUCCCCUGCGUCUCGUCUCACCACUGUCAGACGGACCUUCCAGCAGCACAGCGCCGCAGCCCAUAGCCUCCCGUUCAAACAUGUUCUGUCCAUGUUCACAGGAAAGGCCAAAGUCCUCCUCCUGGUAUUUAAAGCCUCUACGACCCAAUCCAUCUUGCCAAGCUUGCUUCUCUUACCCCAUUAUCAAACUCCAUGUUCCCUGGGCACCGUCCUGUGCUUUCCCAGCUCCAUGGCUUUGCUCAGGUGUUUCUUUUAGCAGGAUGUCUUACAUCCCCAAAUCUCCAAAGGUUUAGCCUAAGUGCUGUCUCCCUCAAGAUGUCUCUAACCCAGAUGAAGCUACAACUCCCUUCUCUGAAAGCCCAUUUUAUCCUAGUGUUUAUCAUUUGCAACCAGAUCAAACUCCAAGAGGGCAAGAAACUCUGGAGUUGCCUUCCCAGUGUCCCACAGGAUAUGGGGACAGGACAGUGCUUUAAAUCUAGGAACAGCCCCUACUACAUUCCCAGGCAGCAGUCUGAAAAGUGGCUUUCUCUCUUCCCAAGCUUGCCGCAGCAUGUAAAGGAAGGUUCUGGCAUCCACCCUGCUUUGAUGCCUCUCAACAGUCCCUCAAGGUGGGAGACCAGACUGGAAUAAUGUAUCUGGUACCUCCCACAGAGCUGGGCCAGACAGUGAUGCAGAGAACGAGGGACAAAGCUCACCCCGCAGUUCUCCUUCCUGGUUUUUGAUUAGUCCAACUCUUACGGUGAUGAGGUGUGCUGCUUCAGAUUCACGGCAAGAAGUUCAAACAGCACAGAACAAAGAAUCUAUGUUCAUGAAGAACUCGUGGCGAUGCUCCAAGUUCCCCAAACUGAUUCAUUUUUCAUCAGCUUGGCCAUAAGCUUCGUUAAGAGAGGAAGGACUGUAAAUUCCUGAGAAACAUGCCUGUAUUCUGUUGGGUGAGAAAAAUCCUUUAGGAAAAUGUCGGCUCCCUACUCAGGGGUGAUCUCGAGGAACAAAAAACAGCCAUUACACACUGAACUUUUUAUGCUAAGAAAAGUAUCAACAGAGCUCAGGCAAUGCAACUUUGAUUCAAGCACCAUGAAAUUUUGUCAAGCAAAAAUAGUCUUUAUUCAAAUUUAAUGGAAACAGGGGUCACUAUACUUUGCAAGACGGGGAAAAA